GUGGAUGAUGUGGUUUAAUUCGAUGCAACGCGAAAAACCUUACCCACCUUUGACAUGUACGGAAGUUACCAGAGAUGGUUUCGUGCUCGAAAGAGAACCGUAACACAGGUGCUGCAUGGCUGUCGUCAGCUCGUGUCGUGAGAUGUUGGGUUAAGUCCCGCAACGAGCGCAACCCUUGUCAUUAGUUGCUACGAAAGGGCACUCUAAUGAGACUGCCGGUGACAAACCGGAGGAAGGUGGGGAUGACGUCAAGUCCUCAUGGCCCUUAUAGGUGGGGCUACACACGUCAUACAAUGGCUGGUACAGAGGGUUGCCAACCCGCGAGGGGGAGCUAAUCCCAUAAAACCAGUCGUAGUCCGGAUCGCAGUCUGCAAC
rnacentral:rRNA from 1 species